GGAGAUGUAGCUCAGCAGUAGAGCUCUUGCCUGGUAUGCAUGUGGUCCUGGGUCUGAUCCCCAGUACCG
rnacentral:tRNA from 1 species